rnacentral:rRNA from 1 species
UACCCGUAAAGGCGUUCUGUUAAGUCAGAUAACGAACGAGACCUCCCUUCACCAUUUUGCUAUUCUUCUCUCCGGAGAGGGAGCACUAUGGUGGUACCGCCACUGUUAAAGUGGAGGAAGGAGGGGGCAACGGUAGGUCAGUAUGCCCCGAAUCUCCCGGGCUACACGCGCGCUACAAAGGGCAGGACAAUGGGCUUCGACACCGAAAGGUGGAGGCAAUCCUGAAACCUGCUCGUAAUUCGGAUUGAGGGCUGCAAUUCGCCCUCAUGAAGCUGGAAUACGUAGUAAUCGCGGGUCAACAUCCCGCGGUGAAUAUGCCCCUGCUCCUUGCACACACCGCCCGUCAAACCACCUUAGUUGGGUCUGGACGACGGGUU